UGGUGGAGUGAUUUGUCUGCUUAAUUGCGAUAACGAACGAGACCUUAACCUGCUAAAUAGUUACGCGAACGCUCUUGCGUUCGUGGCCAACUUCUUAGAGGGACUUUUGCGUGUUUUAACCUAAAGGAAGUUUGUAGGCAAUAACA
rnacentral:rRNA from 1 species